UGCCAGCAGCCGCGGUAAUUCCAGCUCCAAUAGCGUAUAUUAAAGUUGUUGUGGUUAAAAAGCUCGUAGUUGGAUCUCGGCGGUCUGAGGGCGGUUCGCUUCAGAGCGCUACUGCCCUAUAGACCGUAGUUUUGCCAGAGGUCUCAGGGUGCUCUUAACCGAGUGUCUUGCGAUGCUGGCAGGUUUACUUUGAAAAAAUUAGAGUGCUCAAAGCAGGCUUUUACGCCUGAAUAUUCGUGCAUGGAAUAAUAGAAUAGGAAGUCGUUUCUAUUUUGUUGGUUUUCGGAAAUCGACUUAAUGAUUAAUAGGGACAGUCGGGGGCAUUUGUAUUCAAACGACAGAGGUGAAAUUCUUGGACCGUUUGAAGACAAACUACUGCGAAAGCAUUUGCCAAGAAUGUUUUCAUUAAUCAAGAACGAAAGUUAGAGGUUCGAAGGCGAUUAGAUACCGCCCUAGUUCUAACCAUAAACGAUGCCAGCUAGCGAUCUGCCGACGUUUUUUUUGUAGACUCGGCAGGAAGCUUCCGGGAAACCAAAGCAUUUGGGUUCCAGGGGAAGUAUGGUUGCAAAGCUGAAACUUAAAGGAAUUGACGGAAGGGCACCACCAGGAGUGGAGCCUGUGGCUUAAUUUGACUCAACACGGGAAAUCUCACCAGGCCCGGACACUGGAAGGAUUGACAGAUUGAUAGCUCUUUCUUGAUUCGGUGGGUGGUGGUGCAUGGCCGUUCUUAGUUGGUGGAGUGAUUUGUCUGGUUAAUUCCGAUAACGAACGAGACUCUGUCCUGCUAAAUAGUGUCCGCCUCUCUUUUGGGCGGACAAUUCUUCUUAGAGGGACUGGCGACUCUUAGUCGCACGAGAUUGAGCAAUAACAGGUCUGUGAUGCCCAA
rnacentral:rRNA from 1 species